CCUACGGGUGGCUGCAGUGAGGAAUAUUGGUCAAUGGGCGGAAGCCUGAACCAGCCAAGUAGCGUGCGGGAUGAAGGCCCUACGGGUCGUAAACCGCUUUUGCACGGGGAUAACACCCUCCACUUGUGGAGGUCUGCAGGUACCAUAUGAAUAAGCAUCGGCUAACUCCGUGCCAGCAGCCGCGGUAAUACGGAGGAUGCGAGCGUUAUCCGGAUUUAUUGGGUUUAAAGGGUGCGUAGGUGGUUAAUUAAGUCAGCGGUGAAAGUUUGUGGCUCAACCAUAAAAUUGCCGUUGAAACUGGUUGACUUGAGUAUAUUUGAGGUAGGCGGAAUGCGUGGUGUAGCGGUGAAAUGCAUAGAUAUCACGCAGAACUCCGAUUGCGAAGGCAGCUUACUAAACUAUAACUGACACUGAAGCACGAAAGCGUGGGGAUCAAACAGGAUUAGAUACCCGAGUAGUC
rnacentral:rRNA from 1 species